GACGAACGCUGGCGGCGUGCCUAAUACAUGCAAGUAGAACGCUGAAGAGAGGAGCUUGCUCUUCUUGGAUGAGUUGCGAACGGGUGAGUAACGCGUAGGUAACCUGCCUUGUAGCGGGGGAUAACUAUUGGAAACGAUAGCUAAUACCGCAUAACAAUGGAUGACCCAUGUCAUUUAUUUGAAAGGGGCAAAUGCUCCACUACAAGAUGGACCUGCGUUGUAUUAGCUAGUAGGUGAGGUAACGGCUCACCUAGGCGACGAUACAUAGCCGACCUGAGAGGGUGAUCGGCCACACUGGGACUGAGACACGGCCCAGACUCCUACGGGAGGCAGCAGUAGGGAAUCUUCGGCAAUGGGGGCAACCCUGACCGAGCAACGCCGCGUGAGUGAAGAAGGUUUUCGGAUCGUAAAGCUCUGUUGUAAGUCAAGAACGAGUGUGAGAGUGGAAAGUUCACACUGUGACGGUAGCUUACCAGAAAGGGACGGCUAACUACGUGCCAGCAGCCGCGGUAAUACGUAGGUCCCGAGCGUUGUCCGGAUUUAUUGGGCGUAAAGCGAGCGCAGGCGGUUUGAUAAGUCUGAAGUUAAAGGCUGUGGCUCAACCAUAGUUCGCUUUGGAAACUGUCAAACUUGAGUGCAGAAGGGGAGAGUGGAAUUCCAUGUGUAGCGGUGAAAUGCGUAGAUAUGUGGAGGAACACCGGUGGCGAAAGCGGCUCUCUGGUCUGUAACUGACGCUGAGGCUCGAAAGCGUGGGGAGCGAACAGGAUUAGAUACCCUGGUAGUCCACGCCGUAAACGAUGAGUGCUAGGUGUUGGAUCCUUUCCGGGAUUCAGUGCCGCAGCUAACGCAUUAAGCACUCCGCCUGGGGAGUACGACCGCAAGGUUGAAACUCAAAGGAAUUGACGGGGGCCCGCACAAGCGGUGGAGCAUGUGGUUUAAUUCGAAGCAACGCGAAGAACCUUACCAGGUCUUGACAUCCCGAUGCUAUUUCUAGAGAUAGAAGGUUACUUCGGUACAUCGGUGACAGGUGGUGCAUGGUUGUCGUCAGCUCGUGUCGUGAGAUGUUGGGUUAAGUCCCGCAACGAGCGCAACCCCUAUUGUUAGUUGCCAUCAUUCAGUUGGGCACUCUAGCGAGACUGCCGGUAAUAAACCGGAGGAAGGUGGGGAUGACGUCAAAUCAUCAUGCCCCUUAUGACCUGGGCUACACACGUGCUACAAUGGUUGGUACAACGAGUUGCGAGUCGGUGACGGCAAGCUAAUCUCUUAAAGCCAAUCUCAGUUCGGAUUGUAGGCUGCAACUCGCCUACAUGAAGUCGGAAUCGCUAGUAAUCGCGGAUCAGCACGCCGCGGUGAAUACGUUCCCGGGCCU
rnacentral:rRNA from 1 species